GACGAACGCUGGCGGCGUGCCUAAUACAUGCAAGUCGAGCGAAUGGAUUAAGAGCUUGCUCUUAUGAAGUUAGCGGCGGACGGGUGAGUAACACGUGGGUAACCUGCCCAUAAGACUGGGAUAACUCCGGGAAACCGGGGCUAAUACCGGAUAACAUUUUGAACCGCAUGGUUCGAAAUUGAAAGGCGGCUUCGGCUGUCACUUAUGGAUGGACCCGCGUCGCAUUAGCUAGUUGGUGAGGUAACGGCUCACCAAGGCAACGAUGCGUAGCCGACCUGGGAGGGUGAUCGGCCACACUGGGACUGGAGCACGGCCCAGACUCCUACGGGAGGCAGCAGUAGGGAAUCUUCCGCAAUGGACGAAAGUCUGACGGAGCAACGCCGCGUGAGUGAUGAAGGCUUUCGGGUCGUAAAACUCUGUUGUUAGGGAAGAACAAGUGCUAGUUGAAUAAGCUGGCACCUUGACGGUACCUAACCAGAAAGCCACGGCUAACUACGUGCCAGCCGCCGCGGUAA
rnacentral:rRNA from 1 species